UCCAUGUGACUGGCAGCCAUCUUCAUAAAAUCAUGAUACACCAGUGUAAACAGCACUGUUACACUCAGAGUAAAGAUUCAUUAAUGUAGCAUUACAUCCAGCAUCUUCUUUGUAUAACAGCAAUAUAUCAGACCAGAGAUAUCAGACUGAGCCACGCCUGGAGGUACAAUGGAGGGCUGAAAAGGUCUAAAUGAGUGAUUUGUUCAUUUGUGUCACUUAAGCGACUGAGUGCCAAAAAAGCGAAAUGGAAAUCAUGCAUGGUAAGUGUUGAUAAGAUUGUAAUACAUGUAACCAGUAUUACAUGUAACCUAUGUGUGUGCUUUUGAGAAAUAAGUAACUUUAUCAAACUAUUCCUUUCCUUCCUUAUUGAGGUGGCUAGGUCCAUUAUGUAACUGCUUUUUUGUCUCCAUUUCUUACAUCCCAAGCCGAUUAACUCUUUUUGUGUUUG